rnacentral:ncRNA from 1 species
CUUAUCGAGAGUGGCGGAGGGACCGGCCCGAUGAAGCCCGACAACCUGCAAAAACGCAAGGUGCCAAUUCCGGCGAUGGUAAUCGACAGAUGAGG